AGCCGUUCUUCUACGUUAUAACCUAGAAGCCCUAAUUUAUUAUCUUUCCCAAAUCCCACUCUCCCAUAAACAAGAACAAUCAAUUUUCUCCAAAGACAAAGAGAACUCCAUUCUCCAUUCCCCAUAGCAGCAAAUUAAGAGUUUAUAUUGCUGGUGAACUCUUCAAAAUUUGCAGAAAAUGGAUGAAGCGCGGAGUCUGUAGACGUGAGCAGAAAAGAUCCUGUUUGGAAGUAUACAAUCUCAAAUCCGAAUGAGAAGUAUUUUAAGUGUAAGUUUUGCAAGCAACAAUGUACGGGCUGUAUCAACCGAUUGAAACAUCAUUUAGUAGGUACUCGUAAAGGAAUGAAGCCUUGUCCCAAAGUUCCUGGUGAUGUAGUAGUAGAAUGUAAUAAAGUAUUACAGGAGUUGAAAGAUUCAAAAGCUAGGCGAAAUGCUACUAUGGAAGAAAUCCGAAUUGCUGCAACUGGAGAUAGUCAUAUUGGUGGUGAAUCUGGUAACUCGUCAUGUAAUGACGCUAUAUCACCAAAGCUCAGAGGUCCUAUAGAUAAUUUUGUAAAUUCUCAAGCUAGGCAAGCUACUUUGAAUUCUAAAUGGAAAAAAGAGGAAAGAAAAUUAGUUUGUCAACAGAUUGGCCGAUUUUUCUUCUCAAGUGGGAUUCCAUUUAAUGUUGCAAACGAUCCUUACUAUUUGCCGAUGUUUGACGGAGUAGCAAACUUUGGGCCAGGUUUUCGGCCUCCAACGAUGCAUGAGCUAAGAACAUGGAUACUAAAAGAAGAGGUAGCCAACAUUAACAGGAUGCUGGAAGAACACAAAAAUUCAUGGAAGCAAUAUGGUUGUUCUAUAAUGUCAGAUAGUUGGUCGGAUGGAAAAAGUAGAUUUUUCAUCAACUUUCUUGUGAACAGCCCGGCAGGUACUUUUUUUUUUAAGAUCUAUUGAUGCGUCUGAUUCAAUAAAAACUGGUGAGAUGCUUGCAUCGCAUUUGAAUAAAAUUGUAGAUGAAGUUGGGGAGGAAAAUGUGGUCCAAAUGAUAACUGAUAAUGGUUCAAAUUUUGUCAAUGCUGGAAAAAGGAUGAUGGAAACUCAGCCUCAUAUGUAUUGGACCCCAUGUGCAACACACUGCAUCGAUCUCAUGUUAGAGGAUAUAAGUAAGUUGAAAAUUCAUCAAGGGACACUCAAAAAAGCAAAAGAUGUGGUAAAGUUCAUUUAUGGGCAUACUUGGGUGUUGGAUUUGAUGAGAUCUUUCACGAAGAAUCAUGAACUUCUUCGUCCUGCUGUUACUCGUUUUGCUACUGCAUAUCUGACUCUUCAAAGUAUUCAGAAACAAAAACAAGCUCUUCGAUCUAUGUUCUCUUCCGAAGCUUGGAAUACUUCUACAUGGGCUAAGAAACACGAAGGAGUGAAAACAAGAGCUACAGUUCUAUUUGAUCAAAACUUUUGGCCUCACAUUGCUUACUGUGUGAUGAGUGUUACUCCUUUAGUGAGUGUUCUACGGGAAGUUGAUUCAGAAGAGAAGCCUUGUAUGGGAUAUAUGUAUCAUUUGAUGACUAAGGCUAAGGAAAAUAUAGCUUUCAAUUGUGGUAAUAACGAAAAAAAAGUAUGGUCCUGUUUGGAGAAGAAUAGAUGAAAGAUGGACGAGCCAACUUCAUCGUCCAUUACAUGCUGCGGGGUAUUAUUUGAACCCGCAAUUGCGAUUUGAAAAUAAAUUCUCUGAUGAAUUUGAAAUCAAAGAAGGUUUACAUAAUUGCAUAGAAAGGAUGUUAGAUUAUGAUGAGAGAUUAAAAGUGGAUAUCCAGUUAGAUUCUUACGAUCACUUGAGAGGCGAUUUUGGGAGCCAGUUAGCCAUGGAUUCAAGAAAGAUGCGAUCUCCUGCUGAUUGGUGGAUGCGCUUUGGAGGUCGAACUCCAAAGUUGACAAAAUUUGCUAUUCACGUCUUAAGUCUGACUUGUAGCUCCUCGGGCUGUGAAAGAAAUUGGAGUACCUUUGAGUCGAUUCAUACGAAAAAAAGAAAUAGGCUUGAGCAUUGCAGGAUAAAUGCUUUAGUUUAUGUAAGAUAUAAUACAAGAUUAAGAGAGCAGAGCAUCAAAAGAAAAAUGCGCAAGAUUGAUCCUAUUUUGGUUGAUGAAGUUGAUUCGGAUGAUGGAUGGAUUACUGAAAGAGAAGAUCAUGUACUUCCUGAAGAACCUUCGUGGCUUGACGAGCAGAACUUAUUUGAUGUCAAUGUUAUUAAAAUGGUGUCAUGUACUCCGUAGAGGAUGAGAUUAUUCAUGAUACUACAAUUGAUGUCGGUAGUACACAAAAUACAAGUGAAUCUGGUCCUUUUAACAAAAAGCAGAAAGUAGCUGAAAUUUCAGGUAACUUUGCCACAUCUUUCUCAGUACCUUGAGAGAUUUCUGCAUUCUUCUCAACCACAGAGGUAUCAGGUAUAUGAACUAAUUGCUUUUGCACUAAACCAACUGAAUUUGUUUUCACUAUUUCAUGUAUUGCGACUACUUGAUUUGAGCUUCCUCCACUCGAUCAGUCCCUUCCUCUAAAGCAGCAAACUUAUUAUUAGUUGGCACACAAUUAGAGUUAGGAACAACAACUUGCACUUCUUUUCCUGCACCAGUUGAUACGACUGCUGUAUCUGCAGCCUUUGUACCUUGAUUAUGUCCAACUUCAUUGCUCUUAUCCUGCUUGUUUCCCUUGUUGGUUCGCCAUUUGUACAUGUCUAGCUCUCACAUCUUUUUCAUAUCUAUCAACUACUAUUAUCAAAAGAAAAUAUAUGCUGUAAUUUCAUUGAAAAGAUAAUUUUUUGUAAUUCUAAGAUUUACAGAGGGGCAAUUCUUCUUCACAAGUUCAAAUAGAUGAAGGACUGCAAGAUGUGGAUAUUGUUGAUGAAGCAAGAUGGACUAAUACAAACACUCUGAAUUUGAAUGACGAUGAGGAUGACGAUGAACUCCACUUUGAUAGCGAUUGACUGUGCCUUUUGACCUUUUUGCUCUCACGGAUGAAACCUACUCUCAAGAAAAUAGGCUAGAUAAAGUGUAUUUUUUGAUCACCUGAAUGCUGAAUUCUUCAUUUUGUUCCCAAAUGGGAGUUGAUGUAUUUAUGCUGAACUUUCAUAAGCAAACUUGUGCUUGUAAGUAGUGUAUAAUGGAUUGUUUUGACUAGUUUUUGUGGGAAUGGAGUACAUCAA